AACGCGAAGAACCUUACCUACUCUUGACAUCCAGAGAAUUUAGCAGAGAUGCUUUAGUGCCUUCGGGAACUCUGAGACAGGUGCUGCAUGGCUGUCGUCAGCUCGUGUUGUGAAAUGUUGGGUUAAGUCCCGCAACGAGCGCAACCCUUAUCCUUUGUUGCCAGCACGUAAUGGUGGGAACUCAAAGGAGACUGCCGGUGAUAAACCGGAGGAAGGUGGGGAUGACGUCAAGUCAUCAUGGCCCUUACGAGUAGGGCUACACACGUGCUACAAUGGCGCAUACAAAGAGAAGCGACCUCGCGAGAGCAAGCGGACCUCAUAAAGUGCGUCGUAGUCCGGAUUGGAGUCUGCAACUCGACUCCAUGAAGUCGGAAUCGCUAGUAAUCGUAAAUCAGAAUGUUACGGUGAAUACGUUCCCGGGCCUUGUACACACCG
rnacentral:rRNA from 1 species